CAUACCCCCCUUCUUCUCUCUAUCUAACAAUCCUACCACCACCACAACCUGGCAUAUUCAAGAGAGAGUGAGAGAGAGAGAGAUCGAGCAGAAGAGGAGGCAGGAAAGAGAGAGAGAACAGGCGGAGCCGGUGCCGUCGUCUACGGCGGCGGUGGUUCCAGCGACCCUCUCGAGUCACAGCAGUCGUGGGUUCAGGAAUUUUCUCCGGUUUGAUGGUUGAUGGGGUCGGGCAUCAUUCUAAGUUUGGGUGUCACGACACGGGUCAGACUCGGUUCGGUUCGAGUUCAGUCGACACCGGGUUAACAUGGUCGUCUCUAUUCCGAUUCAUUACAACCCAGUUUCAGUUUGGGUUCGGUUCAGAUUCGGUGUCGGGUCAACAUCAGUCAAACAGUCAACACGGGUGGGUCGUGGUGGCGGUGGUGAUGGCGGCGACAGGUGGGUCGUGGUGGCGGUGAUGGCGGCGACAGGUGGGUCGUGGUGGCGGUGGUGGCGGUAGGUAGGUUGUGGUGGUGGUAGGAUUGUUAGAUCUCAAUAAACCACUUUGUUGCCCUAAUUUUGGUGAGUUGUAAGAAAUUGGGGUUUUUUUGUUCAUGGGUUAUUGAUGAUAAUGUUGAUGAUAAUCUGGGUUUUGAAGUUUUGAAUAUCCGGGUUUUGAAGUUUUGAAUAUCUGGGUUUUGAAGUUUUGAAUAUUUUUUUCUUUGUGUUUUGAAGAUCUGGGUUUUGUUUGAAGUUUUGAAGAUAUAAUGUGCAGAUUAUGAAGCUUAUAGUUAAGAGAAAGAAGAUUUGAAUUUUUUAUAA